UGAGAAAUGUAAGACAGACAGAGCACAGACAGGAACGGUUACUAGAAUAAAUGUGUGCCCAUGUGCACCAAGGGAUGCAAGAAAGAAAG